GCCUGGGUAGCUCAAUCGGUAGAGCGUGUGACUCUUAUUCCUAUCUCAGGAUAUGAGAUCAUCUCAAGGUCGCGGGUUCGAGCCCCGCCUCGGGCU
rfam:Pseudogymnoascus pannorum VKM F-4513 (FW-928) contig_642, whole genome shotgun sequence.